rnacentral:rRNA from 1 species
AAAUUGAAGAGUUUGAUCAUGGCUCAGAUUGAACGCUGGCGGCAGGCCUAACACAUGCAAGUCGAACGGUAACAGGAAGAAGCUUGCUUCUUUGCUGACGAGUGGCGGACGGGUGAGUAAUGUCUGGGAAACUGCCUGAUGGAGGGGGAUAACUACUGGAAACGGUAGCUAAUACCGCAUAACGUCGCAAGACCAAAGAGGGGGACCUUCGGGCCUCUUGCCAUCGGAUGUGCCCAGAUGGGAUUAGCUUGUUGGUGGGGUAACGGCUCACCAAGGCGACGAUCCCUAGCUGGUCUGAGAGGAUGACCAG